rnacentral:lncRNA from 1 species
CUUUAUGAGAAAGUGAAAUGAAAUGCAUUGCAAUGUUCUACAUUCAAGAAAGACGAAUUGGGCAGGAUCAAUGAAACCAUGAUAGCUUCAACAAAAAUGAAUUACGGUAUAGAUAGAUUAAAGGGAAAGUGAAACCGCUUGCAUAAGAUUCAUCGCAUGUUCUCUGAACUUUUGGGACAUAUAGGUGUUACAUGGGAUCCAAUUUAUCGACAAAGUUAAUGCUGCAGAGGAAGUUUGGCAACACUUUUAUAAGGUACAUAUUUACAUUUUUUUGUUGAAUACUAUGACCAUGUGGCUUCUUUUUUCAAUGAUAGAUUAAUAAGUCGGAUUACAAGAUAUUCAAGAGGAAAGGAUGUAAGCACUACCACACUCUUGUACAGAUAUUCAGCAGGGCUAGAGCUACUGGAGGAUUACGCAACGCCUCCACUCAAAUGGAGAUAUGUUGCAGCUUGGGUACCUUCAUCAAGACAAACAUCUUUUUGUGGAAGGAAAACUAAUAUAACACAAAUUCUUACUUCAUGUUGUGCAAUAAACAACUUUAUUCGUCAGGAGCAUGCUUUAGAUAAGUUGUUCAUUGAGUAUUCAGAGGAGAUUGUGGUGUUUCAAGAUAUAAUGGAGUCAAGUCAAAAUCAAGAAGUCAUACAUUUUAAUGCUAGUCAAACAGCUCAAAUGGAACAAGUCA